AUCAUUCUGUGAUUUAUAAGCAUGAUGACUGGGUUUUCACGCUCAUGUGGGAGACGUGCCUUCCUCAAACCUUGUUACAUCAUUGGCACAUUAAACAACUGAUG